rnacentral:rRNA from 1 species
GCGCCAGCCGCCGCGGUAAUACGGAGGGGGCUAGCGUUAUUCGGAAUUAUUGGGCGUAAAGGGCGUGUAGGCGGCUUCGUGUGUCCCAUGUGAAAGCCCUCGGCUCAACCCAGAGACUGCUUCCAAAACUGCUGUGCUUGAGUGUGAGAGAGGCUCGUGGAAUUGCAGGUGUAGCGGUGAAAUGCGUAGAUAUCUGCAGGAACACCCGUGGCGAAAGCGGCGAGCUGGAUCACUACUGACGCUGAGGAACGAAAGCUAGGGGAGCAAACAGGAUUAGAUACCCUGGUAGUCC